CACCCAAUUCAGAAACUGUGGAAGCCCCACUCUAUAUUAGGUGGAAAGCAGAAAGUCCAUCAAACUGGCUUCAAAUGACAAGUGAGCUCAUUUAUCAAAACAGAAAUGAGCAUGUGGCAAUCACUUAAUAAUGUCUCCCUUGCAGGUUCCAUUCUUGUUUCGACUUUGGCAUCACCAUUUACAUUAGCCGUGCAUUUGCUAAAUUUGCCAAAGCUUUAUAAUCUUUUUGCAGGUUGGUUCUUUAGAUCCUGGCAAACUCAUAAAAAUACUCAAAUCAUCAAUACCCAGUCUUUCUUAGAAAGACAUUGAAAACUAAGAUAACUCUGAAAUGGGCAUUAGCACUGGUCAAGUGACUCAAACCCAAGGCUGGUGAAUGCAACUGCAAUAGCUUGGCUAUUGCAUUCAGUGAAUUGGUUUUCUCUUUAGGUAGACUUUUGCACUAAUAACUUCAUAUAUGUUUUUCUGUAUCCUUAUCAGAUUUUACAAGUUUUAAAGAACUGUCUAACUUUUAAGUGGGAGCAGAAAAUCAGUUGACUUUGUUGUCCUGGUGUACUUUAAAAAGAAAAAAAAGGUUGGACUGUCAAAAAGAAAUGGGUUAUCUGCUGUGUAUCAUAAUCUGCCUGUAGUACCGGAUUUAUGUCGAUCUUUAUUGAAUAAUAAUAAUAAUCUAUUUUUCCAUCAUGAGCUGGGAUUUUGAUGUCUACAUUUGACAUGAAGGAUGAAUCCAAGGAAGUGAUUUGGCAAGGUGAGAUUGGUGGAGUAGAUGCGGCUUUGGAUACAUUCAAGGCUGAAAAGGCAUUUCCUAUGUGCAAACUCACACGUUUGUUGCGUGAUUCAUUGGGUGGGAGGACUAAGACAUGUACAAUUGGUGGGCCUGUCAAAAUUGGACUGGGCCUGUCCUGUUCAUUUGGUGGACUUAAAAAUAGGCCCGUGUUUGACUUGCAGGCCUAAAAUUAGAUCAAGUUGGGACCAUGGGGGCCAGGUUCGUACAGGACUUGUCUCUAUGGGAACUGCACCAAAAUGUAUGAAUUUAGUUUUCCUUUAAAAAAAAUAAAAUAAAAUUUCUUGGUGAUUUUUAUUUUCUCAGUUCUCAUUUAUUGGAUAUGUUCAUUUGAAUCCUUUUCUUACAUAUAUAAGUGUAUAUGUUCCAUGUUUAUGGUGGAGAUUGUUGGAGAGUAGCAAGCCUUAAUCUCUAAGGAGACUCGUGGGGCUUCCAACCUUUUCUCAACAAACCUUCUUUUACUACUGUAAAAUUCAUGCUACUUGGUUAGAGCUGAAGACCUUACUUUUUUUUUUUUUUUUUUUGUGAUCGACGAUUGCAUCAUAAUAUUGCAUUUGCACUAUCAGGUUUGUUCAUUCAGAACUUGC